UCACUCUCCUUUCUCCUAUCGUACAAAACUUUUACAUUUUACUAAAGUUUUUCAUGGAGAAAGAACAACAAGAGUCAGAUUUCAUUUUGUUAAUUAAUUUUGUGUUCUGGGGCCUGAAAUUAA
rnacentral:snRNA from 1 species